CGGCAUCGUGAUGGCUCACGAUUUGGCAUUGUCCUUGGCUGCUGCUGGUAACCCUCCCAGGGCCACCUGCUGAUGCUGCCUUGAAGACACCUGUCGCCUAUUGCACACCUUUGUGUGGCCGUGUUCGAACCCGCCCACUACUGUCUUACUUCACGGAAGCUUCUGCACGCGUUCACUCAAUCAGCUGAUCCUUUACCCCAUAGCACACGAGCCACAGGACUGCAGAUCCUUUUUCUAGAGCAGAUGCCUGUCAUUUACAAGGUGUCGGAGGGGACAGUGCUAUCCCCCACUCCCAACUCUCGAGAGGAUGCAACCAGAUGACACACACACCGUGUGCAGCCCAAGGCCAGGUGUCUACGAGAUGGCACUGGUACAUCAAGGAAAUAAGAAGCUUCUGAUGGACAUCAUUUUCCAUGAAAGCCUUUUGCUUCUCCUCCAAAUCUUAUCAUUAUACAUGGCUUCUCAGAUAUAGUGAAAAUUGGAUUGUAAGUGUUGGGGAAGCAGAAAGAGGAUGCUCAUGGCAAAAUAUAUCCCUGCCUUGAG
rnacentral:lncRNA from 1 species